rnacentral:misc_RNA from 1 species
GAUGAAGAACGCAGCGAAAUGCGAUAAGUAAUGUGAAUUGCAGAAUUCAGUGAAUCACCGAAUCUUUGAACGCACAUUGCGCCCCCUGGUAUUCCGGGGGGCAUGCCUGUCCGAGCGUCAUUACAACCCUCAAGCUCAGCUUGGUAUUGGGCCCCGCCGACCCGGCGGGCCCUAAAGUCAGUGGCGGUGCCGUCCGGCUCCGAGCGUAGUAAUUCUUCUCGCUCUGGAGGUCCGGUCGUGUGCUCGCCAGCAACCCCCAAUUUUUUUCAGGUUGACCUCGGAUCAGGUAGGGAUACCCGCUGAACUUAAGCAUAUCAAUAAGCGGAGGA